AGUGGACAUAGUUUAACCUAAAACAGUAAGCUGUGGAUUUACAGACAAAGAGACUCUUUUGCCCACC
rnacentral:tRNA from 1 species